rnacentral:rRNA from 1 species
AUCCCAUCAGAACUCCGAAGUCAAGCGUGCUUGGGCGAGAGUAGUACUAGGAUGGGUGACCCCCUGGGAACUCCUCGUGUUGCACCC